GGUUAAGUGACUAAGCGUACACGGUGGAUGCCUGGGCAGUCAGAGGCGAUGAAGGACGUACUAACUUGCGAUAAGCGCAGAUAAGGCAGUAAGAGCCGUUUGAGUCUGCGAUUUCCGAAUGGGGAAACCCAACUGCAUAAGCAGUUACUGUUAACUGAAUACAUAGGUUAACAGAGCAAACCGGGGGAACUGAAACAUCUAAGUACCCCGAGGAGAAGAAAUCAACCGAGAUUCCGGUAGUAGCGGCGAGCGAACCUGGAUUAGCCCUUAAGCACUCGGUGAAGUAGGUGAACAAGCUGGAAAGCUUGGCGAUACAGGGUGAUAGCCCCGUAACCGACGCUUCAUCGAGCGUGAAAUCGAGUAGGGCGGGACACGUGAUAUCCUGUCUGAAUAUGGGGGGACCAUCCUCCCAAGGCUAAAUACUCCUGACUGACCGAUAGU
rnacentral:rRNA from 1 species